CUGUGUUGGUGUUGCGUACUCAGGUGAAUAAUAUGUUUGCGAUGUUACUCUGAGUGCAUAUCCACACCAGGCGAGCUUGAAAAAUAUGCCCGGCCACGGUGGGAUUCGAACCUACGACCUUUGGAAUACUAGCCCAAUGCUCUUCCAACUGAGCUACGCGGUCAGGACGGUUCGAGUAAGUGAUAUUUCGGAACAGUAUCUAGUUUCUUCAAUACCGAUGUGUUCUAGUAAUACGAAUUUUUUCUGUGUUGGUGUUGUGUACUCAGGUGAAUAAUAUGUUUGCGAUGUUACACUGAGUGCAUAUCCACACCGGGCGAGCUUGAAAAAUAUGCCCGGCCACGGUGGGAUUCGAACCUACAACCUUUGGAAUAAUAGCCCAAUGCUCUUCCAACUGAGCUACGCGGUCAGGACGGUUCGAGUAAGUGAUAUUUCGGAACAGUAUCUAGUGCCUUCAAUACCGAUGUGUUCUAGUAAUACGAAUUUUUUCUGUGUUGGUGUUGUGUACUCAGGUGAAUAAUAUGUUUGCGAUGUUACACUGAGUGCAUAUCCACACCGGGCGAGCUUGAAAAAUAU